GAUCAUGGCUCAGGAUGAACGCUAGCUACAGGCUUAACACAUGCAAGUCGAGGGGCAGCGGGAUUGAAGCUUGCUUCAAUUGCCGGCGACCGGCGCACGGGUGAGUAACGCGUAUCCAACCUUCCGUACACUCAGGGAUAGCCUUUCGAAAGAAAGAUUAAUACCUGAUGGUGUGAUGAGAUUGCAUGAUAGCAUCAUUAAAGAUUUAUUGGUGUACGAUGGGG
rnacentral:rRNA from 1 species